AUUGAACGCUAGCGGGAUGCUUUACACAUGCAAGUCGAACGGCAGCGCGGACUUCGGUCUGGCGGCGAGGGGCGAACGGGUGAGUAAUGUAUCGGAACGUGCCCAGUAGCGGGGGAUAACUACGCGAAAGCGUAGCUAAUACCGCAUACGCCCUACGGGGGAAAGCAGGGGAUCGUAAGACCUUGCACUAUUUGAGCGGCCGAUAUCGGAUUAGCUAGUUGGUGAGGUAACGGCUCACCAAGGCGACGAUCCGUAGCUGGUUUGAGAGGACGACCAGCCACCCUGGGACUGAGACACGGCCCAGACUCCUACGGGAGGCAGCAGUGGGGAAUUUUGGACAAUGGGGGCAACCCUGAUCCAGCCAUCCCGCGUGUGGGAUGAAGGCCUUCGGGUUGUAAAGCACUUUUGGCAGGAAAGAAACGUCGCGGGCUAAUACCCCGUGGAACUGACGGUACCUGCAGAAUAAGCACCGGCUAACUACGUG
rnacentral:rRNA from 1 species